ACGCUGGCGGCAGGCCUAACACAUGCAAGUCGAGCGGUAGAGAGAAGCUUGCUUCUCUUGAGAGCGGCGGACGGGUGAGUAAUGCCUAGGAAUCUGCCUGGUAGUGGGGGAUAACGUUCGGAAACGGACGCUAAUACCGCAUACGUCCUACGGGAGAAAGCAGGGGACCUUCGGGCCUUGCGCUAUCAGAUGAGCCUAGGUCGGAUUAGCUAGUUGGUGAGGUAAUGGCUCACCAAGGCGACGAUCCGUAACUGGUCUGAGAGGAUGAUCAGUCACACUGGAACUGAGACACGGUCCAGACUCCUACGGGAGGCAGCAGUGGGGAAUAUUGGACAAUGGGCGAAAGCCUGAUCCAGCCAUGCCGCGUGUGUGAAGAAGGUCUUCGGAUUGUAAAGCACUUUAAGUUGGGAGGAAGGGCAGUUACCUAAUACGUGAUUGUUUUGACGUUACCGACAGAAUAAGCACCGGCUAACUCUGUGCCAGCAGCCGCGGUAAUACAGAGGGUGCAAGCGUUAAUCGGAAUUACUGGGCGUAAAGCGCGCGUAGGUGGUUAGUUAAGUUGGAUGUGAAAUCCCCGGGCUCAACCUGGGAACUGCAUUCAAAACUGACUGACUAGAGUAUGGUAGAGGGUGGUGGAAUUUCCUGUGUAGCGGUGAAAUGCGUAGAUAUAGGAAGGAACACCAGUGGCGAAGGCGACCACCUGGACUGA
rnacentral:rRNA from 1 species